rnacentral:rRNA from 1 species
AAAGGAGAUAAGACCCCUGAGAGACUAACAGGUAAAUAGGGCAGAGGUGGAAGUGCAGUAAUGUAUGUAGCUGACUGUUACUAAUAGGUCGAAGGCUUGACCA